rnacentral:misc_RNA from 1 species
GCAACGAAAAAAAAUACCUAAACGGUCAUCUAACCAACGAGUCGGUAACGUUCGCUGGUGACUGAUCAACGUUACGAUAUACGUUCGUGUGUUAAAUACAUACGACGAUGAACUGCAAAAAAUAGUCGAUAUCUAUCAAUAAAGAAAAAAUAGGAAAUAUAUGUCGUGUACGACGGACGCCGUGUUCCAAUCGUGAUAUGUUCUUCGCCUCGAAAUUAAACAAAAUUUUAGCGUGGCGCUGUAUCAACAGCUGAUUAACUUGUAGUCUUCGAACAAAAUUUUCGUUCUAGUCAACUCCAGUGUCAGAGGAGUAAAAACGAAAAAACAAAAACGAUGGCCGGAUUCGUGUUGCGAGUUAAAACGAAAUCAGGUCAAAAGGUCGUAAACGGUUUGAUCCCUCAGGAUAAGGUGUCCGUAUUGAAAUCGAAGCUGGCCGAGCUAACGGGAAUAGCAGUCGAUUCGCUUCACGUUCUUGGUGGAUUUCCACCAAAGGCGAUUAAUUUAAACAAUGAAACGGACACGAUCGAGGAAAGCGGUGUUGUGUCGGGCGAUACCUUGAUCGUAGAAGAGAAGCCACCUCUUUACAAUGGGAAACAAAAGUCGGAAGAAAUUGGUCGGUCCCAUAUCGUUGACGACGAGAAUUUCGUAAACACGCCCGGUGUACUGAUGAAAAAAGUUGUACCUGCAGAUAAUUCUUGCUUAUUCACCAGUGUCGGAUACGUGCUCAACGGUAAAGUAGAUCCUAGUUGCGCCAGCUUCAUGAGAGAAAUUAUAGCCAAUGCCGUGGCGGCUGAUCCGGAAGAAUAUUCCGAAGCUUUCUUAGGUCGUCCCAAUUCCGAAUAUUGCGAAUGGAUUUUGAAGCCUGAAUCUUGGGGCGGUGCUAUAGAGCUCUCUAUACUCUCAAAAUUUUAUGGACUAGAAAUAGCGGUAAUCGACAGCAUUAACGCUAUAAUCAAUAGAUUCGGCGAAGAUCAACAUUAUGCUCAAAGAGUAUUUCUAAUAUUCGAUGGAAUUCAUUAUGAUCCUUUGUACCUAGAACCGCUCGAUGGUGGUAGUAUUCAAACUAUCUUUCCUACGGAAGAUGAAACGAUAUUAUUGGAAGCGGCAGAACUUGCCAGAGAAGUAAAAUCUAGUCGUCAAUUUACGGAUAUUCAAAAGUUCACUUUAAUGUGUAACGAUUGUAAAAUCAAAUUAAACGGCCAAAUGGAAGCUCAACAACAUGCCAAGGAAACUGGUCAUAUGAAUUUUGGAGAAGUAGCAGCGUAGCGAAUUAAAUGUUUCCUCUCUUGUUGUAAAUCUUCUAAACCUUUAAUUGGACCGCUGUUUGAGAAUCCUAUUAAGUUCGAGUCUCAAACAGAAUUUUCUACUUAAACGAGGCUUCUAAGCAAAUCCGUCCAGGUAUGCAUAUAAUAGAGGAUAAUAGAGGAUGAAACAAAAAACUAACUAUGACACCUUCAUUAUACAUACGUGUAUAACUCUAGGAUAUUGUAAUUAUUUUCUUAUCGAGAUUUCUAUGCGAUCGAACAUGCACCGUAUCAACACGCGAGUUUUCGAUUAAAAAGUGAAAGUUAAUUUUUUGUAACUACACACACACACAUAUAAAAUAUUUCUUAAAAAAUGUAUCAUUCAAGCAUCAUAUUUUGUUUUUUAUAUACAGGAAUAUAAAUACCUGUAUUACAGUGUUAGAUUUGCCGAGCAGAAUUAAUUAGACUCGAGCGGAAAAAGAAGUUGCAAAAAAUGACUUAUUACUCAGGAAAAAUUCAUCAUAAAUUUUCACAGAUUUAUAUUUAUAUCACGCUAUGAUAUGUUUUGUAAGUUCCGUCGUAUCGAUAAAAUAAAACAAACAAGAUAUUUCACUA